rnacentral:rRNA from 1 species
ACGAGCCACACAAACGUUAUUCGGAAUUACUGGGCUUAAAGGGUGCGUAGGCGGCGCGGAAAGUUGGGUGUGAAAUCCCUCAGCUUAACUGAGGAACUGCGCCCAAAACUACCGUGCUCGAGGGAGAUAGAGGAAUGCGGAACUUACGGUGGAGCGGUGAAAUGCGUAGAUAUCGCUUGGAACGCCAACGGUGAAAACAGCUCGCUGGGGGUGUGCUGACGCUGAGACACGAAAGCCAGGGGAGCGAACGGGA